GUGGCGGAGGCGUGGGAGACGGCGGCAGAAGGCGUUCCGGAGCACGACGGCGCCGCCGGUCUUUCUGGGAUAGAGCUGCCACCUGCUCCGUUUGCGGAGGAAGAGAGCCGCCGCCGCCGUCGUCUACAUUGCUGGGCGAGGAAGGAAGCCAUCGCCUGCCUUGCUGGCUGAGGAGGAAGGACGCCGAUGCCUGUUUUGUCAGUUAUACACCUAAGAGCCGCCGCCUAUCAGAG
rnacentral:lncRNA from 1 species